GAUGAACGCUGGCGGCGUGCCUAAUACAUGCAAGUCGAGCGAACGGACGAGAAGCUUGCUUCUCUGAUGUUAGCGGCGGACGGGUGAGUAACACGUGGAUAACCUACCUAUAAGACUGGGAUAACUUCGGGAAACCGGAGCUAAUACCGGAUAAUAUUUUGAACCGCAUGGUUCAAAAGUGAAAGACGGUCUUGCUGUCACUUAUGGAUGGAUCCGCGCUGCAUUAGCUAGUUGGUAAGGUAACGGCUUACCAAGGCAACGAUGCAUAGCCGACCUGAGAGGGUGAUCGGCCACACUGGAACUGAGACACGGUCCAGACUCCUACGGGGGGCAGCAGUAGGGAAUCUUCCGCAAUGGGCGAAAGCCUGACGGAGCAACGCCGCGUGAGUGAUGAAGGUCUUCGGAUCGUAAAACUCUGUUAUUAGGGAAGAACAUAUGUGUAAGUAACUGUGCACAUCUUGACGGUACCUAAUCAGAAAGCCACGGCUAACUACGUG
rnacentral:rRNA from 1 species